UAAGGAAUCUUGCACAAUGGGGGAAACCCUGAUGCAGCAACGCCGCGUGAACGAUGAAGGCCCUAGGGUUGUAAAGUUCUGAUCUGUGGGAAGAAGAAAGUGACGGUACCACAGGAGAAAGCCCCGGCUAACUACGUGCCAGCAGCCGCGGUAAUACGUAGGGGGCAAGCGUUAUCCGGAAUUAUUGGGCGUAAAGAGUGCGUAGGUGGUUACCUAAGCGCAAGGUUUAAUCUUGAGGCUUAACCUCAUUCUGCCUUGCGAACUGGGCUACUUGAGUGCUGGAGGGGAAAGCGGAAUUCCCAGUGUAGCGGUGAAAUGCGUAGAUAUUGGGAAGAACACCGGAGGCGAAGGCGGCUUUCUGGACAGUAACUGACACUGAGGCACGAAAGCGUGGGGAGCAAACAGG
rnacentral:rRNA from 2 species